UUGGAGGGCAAGUCUGGUGCCAGCAGCCGCGGUAAUUCCAGCUCCAAUAGCGUAUAUUAAAGUUGUUGCAGUUAAAAAGCUCGUAGUUGAAUUUCGGGAUCAAUAUGUUGGUCGUGCCUUUGGUACGUACUAGCUUAUUGAUUUCUCCCUUCUGACGAACCAUGAUGUCAUUAAUUUGGUGUCAUGGGAAAUCAGGACUGUUACUUUGAAAAAAUUAGAGUGUUUAAAGCAGGCUUACGCUUGAAUACAUCAGCAUGGAAUAAUGAAAUAGGACGUUUUGAUUCUAUUUUGUUGGUUUCUAGGAUCGACGUAAUGAUUAAUAGGGAUAGUUGGGGGCAUUAGUAUUCAAUUGUCAGAGGUGAAAUUCUUGGAUUUAUUGAAGACUAACUACUGCGAAAGCAUUUGCCAAGGAUGUUUUCAUUAAUCAAGAACGAAAGUUAGGGGAUCGAAGACGAUCAGAUACCGUCGUAGUCUUAACCAUAAACUAUGCCGACUAGGGAUCGGAUGAUGUUAAUUUUUUAAUGACUCAUUCGGCGCCUUACGGGAAACCAAAGUGUUUGGGUUC
rnacentral:rRNA from 1 species